AUUGAACGCUGGCGGCAUGCCUAACACAUGCAAGUCGAACGGCAGCAUGAGGUGUAGCAAUACACCUUGAUGGCGAGUGGCGGACGGGUGAGGAAUCCAUCGGAAUCUGCCCAGUCGUGGGGGACAACGCAGGGAAACUUGCGCUAAUACCGCAUACGACCUUCGGGUGAAAGCAGGGGAUCUUCGGACCUUGCGCGAUUGGAUGAGCCGAUGCCGGAUUAGCUAGUUGGCGGGGUAAUGGCCCACCAAGGCGACGAUCCGUAGCUGGUCUGAGAGGAUGAUCAGCCACACUGGGACUGAAACACGGCCCAAACUCCUACGGGAGGCAGCAGUGGGGAAUAUUGGACAAAUGGGGGCAACCCCUGAUCCAGCAAAUGCCGCCGUGGGGUGAAGAAGGCCUUCGGGGUUGUAAAGCACUUUUAUCGGGGAACGAAACAUUUGUCGGGCCAAUACCCGGGCAAAGACUGACGGUACCCGAGGAAUAAGCACCGGCUAACUCCGUGCCAGCAGCCGCGGUAAUACCGGAGGGUGCAAGCGUAAUCGGAUUUACUGGGCGUAAAGCGUGCCGCAGGCGGUUUGUUAAGUCUGCUUGUGAAAUCCUCGAGCUCAACUUGGAAUUGCAGUGAUACUGGCAAGCUGAGUACGGUAGAGGAAGGUGAAUUCCCGGUGUAGCAGUGAAAUGCGUAGAAGAUCGGGAGGAAACACAAGUGGCGAAGGCGCCUUCUGAACAGUACUGACGCUCAUGCAAGAAAGCGUGGGAGCAAA
rnacentral:rRNA from 1 species